rnacentral:lncRNA from 1 species
UUGGUUUCAUCUGAACAUGAUCUUCCAUGGCAUCAGAGUUAGUUGGUAUAGCUUCUGCUUUUUUCACACGGCUUUGAGAGUGGGUGGCAUCCAUGUAGGUUUCAGUUUAAUCUUCAAUCUACUUGCAUUGGUUUAGCAAUGCAUAAAUAUGUCUCAAAGCCACAUUUUUAUUACACAUCAAUAAAACAUGACCAGAGUAGGAGGGGUGAGUGUGGGCUUUCACAGUAUCAGCAGCGACUGAGCUUUCAAAGG